AUUGAACGCUGGCGGAAUGCUUUACACAUGCAAGUCGAACGGCAGCACGGGGGCAACCCUGGUGGCGAGUGGCGAACGGGCGAGUAAUACAUCGGAACGUGCCCAGUCGUGGGGGAUAACGUAGCGAAAGCUACGCUAAUACCGCAUACGAACUCUGGUUGAAAGCGGGGGAUCGCAAGACCUCGCGCGAUUGGAGCGGCCGAUGGCAGAUUAGGUAGUUGGUGGGGUAAAGGCUCACCAAGCCGACGAUCUGUAGCUGGUCUGAGAGGACGACCAGCCACAC
rnacentral:rRNA from 1 species